rnacentral:tRNA from 1 species
CGACGGCUGCGGCGAGUGCUACGCCGG